rnacentral:ncRNA from 1 species
ACAUGAGGACGACCUCACACUAUUGCAGUGAUCAUCCGGGGACGGCCCCA